rnacentral:rRNA from 1 species
CCUUACUCGCUGAACUUAAGCAUAUCAAUAAGCGGAGGAAAAGAAACCAACAGGGAUUGCCUCAGUAUCGGCGAGUGAAGCGGCAACAGCUCAAAUUUGAAAUCUGGCUCUUUCAGGGUCCGAGUUGUAAUUUGUAGAGGAUGCUUCGGCGUGGGCUCCGGUCUAAGUUCCUUGGAACAGGACGUGCACAGAGGGUGAGAAUCCCGUAUGUGAUCGGUUGCCUUUGCCUUGUGAAGCUCCUUCGACGAGUCGAGUUGUUUGGGAAUGCAGCUCUAAAUGGGAGGUAAAUUUCUUCUAAAGCUAAAUACUGGCCAGAGACCGAUAGCGCACAAGUAGGGUGAUCGAAAGAUGAAAAGCACUUUGGAAAGAGAGUCAAAAAGUACGUGAAAUUGUUGAAAGGGAAGCGCUUGCAACCAGACCUGCCUGCAGUUGCUCAUCCGGGCUUUCGCCCGGUGCACUCUUCUGCUGUCAGGCCAGCAUCGGUUCGGGCGGUCGGAUAAAGGCUUCGGGAAUGUAGCUCCUCUCGAGGAGUGUUAUAGCCCGUUGCGAAAUGCGGCCUACGCCUGAACUGAGGUCCGCGCUUCGGCUAGGAUGCUGGCGUAAUGGUUGUAAGCGGCCCGUCGUGAAACACGG